GUGGGGAAUAUUGGGCAAUGGGGGAAACCCUGACCCAGCGACGCCGCGUGGGUGAAGAAAUCCCUCGGGAUGUAAAGCCCUGUUGUAUGGGAAGAGCAGAAGACGGUACCAUACGAUGAAGCACCGGCAAACUACGUGCCAGCAGCCGCGGUAAUACGUAGGGGGCAAGCGUUGUCCGGAAUUACUGGGCGUAAAGUGCACGCAGGCUGAAUUAUAAGUCGGUAGUGAAAUACGGAGGCUCAACUUCCGGAUAUCUAUCGAUACUGUAAAUCUAGAGUAUGGGAGAGGGAAGCGGAAUUCCCGGUGUAGCGGUGAAAUGCGUAGAGAUCGGGAGGAACACCAGUGGCGAAGGCGGCUUCCUGGCACAAUACUGACGCUCAUGUGCGAAAGCUAGGGCAGCGAACGGGAUUAGAUACCCCUGUAGUCC
rnacentral:rRNA from 1 species